GCUAUGGCUGCCUGGACUAUAAGCCCUAGAAGUAAAAACCUAUGGAAAGCUACACCACUACACCGAGCGGCAACAAGAGCAAGCAAAAUCCACUUAAGGUUUUAGUAUCUGUGAUUACUUUGUGUGUUCUCUACCUCCAGCGCUCUGCAGCCUCGUUCUCCUCUCCCGGCCUAGCUUUUAGGAAGGGAAGGAUCCAGGAGAGCCAUCUAGUGAGAAGAGCAUUACCACUAAAACUGUAGUGCGUUGGAGCGUCAGAGAAAGAUCUUAAGGACUGUGUCCAGGCCAGUUUACUCUCUUUGUCCUCUGGGAAAAUUGCUCCAGCAGAGGACCUGACAGGAGAAUGCGGAGACCGUUGUUUGCACCACUUUACAGAUUUGUAUUUGUGUGACCAAAGGGGCAUCACCGGCCUCCUGGUUUCUGGGCAGAUAAAAAGUGGAAAACCCGGAAGGUUUUCACACUUCUGGCUUCCCGGAAACACGGGAGGAAAUCAAGGGCAGCACUCGCCCGAGCAUGGCUCUGCAUUAGACUGACGACCUUGGACUGAAACUGCCCUGUGUCCAAACAAGGGCGAAGACAUGAUCAGCCCUCUGGUUAUUUUCACCCAUGUGAAGAGGCACUUGGCAUCUUGGAUUCACACCAGCCCUGGCCAUGGGAAGAAGCCGUGUGUUGAUUGAAGCAGUCUGAGACCGGUGAUUUGGAGAAGUAGAAAAACAAACUAGGUGCCCUGACCAGACCCACCCGUAGCUCCAUAUGCUGUUUUCCUGCCACUCAGCGUCUGAUGGAUGAGAGAAGGUGGCUCCUGAGGAGAGGAAGGUGGGGGGGGGGGGGGGACGGGGACUGCAGGUGCUCCAAAUUAGGAAUAAUUCUGCAGAUUAGCCUAAUGAAGUCAAAAAGUUAAUUUGUAGCUGCCAGCUGUUGAGCAGUAAGUUACAAAGUGCCACAGCCCCUCUACAGCUCAGCGCAGGGAAUGCAAAAAGGCAAAGGGAGUAACUGAGAGGACUUGGAAGAAACACCUGCUAAGGCGUCAUCUGGGAGGAGCUCCGCAGUCGCCAGGUGGCCUCAUGGACAAAGAGAUCAUAGAAAUAAUGACUGUUGGUGAC